CGUACUUCUUCUGUUCUUCUUCGUAGAGAUCUUAUUCUCUCUCUCGUAGAAAACCAAAGUCGCGGCUUCUUCUUCUUCUGUAAAUAAUCAUCACCAUCCUCAUAGAUCAGCUUCUUCUUCUUCUGUAAAUAAUCAUCAUCAUCCUCAUAGAUCAGUAGGUGGAGCUAUUUGAAAAAACAGUGGAUAAGGAUAGUAGUGUCGGCGGCGGUGGUGGUGGAGGUUUUUCAUUUCAAGUUUGGGUUUUCUUUAGUGAUAUCAAAUUGAAUACCAAAACUUGAAUCAGAUCAUAGCUAUGGGUAAUCAUAAGCGAUGGGUGGUGAUGGUAGUGGAGACAGCAGUGGUGGUGGGGGAUUUUUCUUUCAAGUUUAGGGUUUUUUAUUUUAAUAUCCGAACUCAUGAAUAAACCCAACAAGAGGGAGAAGUUGUUCGAUCUACAAUUGCAUUAAGUAGUUAAAUCGUGGUACUUUGAAAUUGGCUUUCAAAAAGAAUAGGUUGAGACUUCAUCGCAAAAUAAUAAGUCUACAAAGACCCAAAUCUCGUAACUGGUGAUCCAGCUAAAUUGGGGAAGCUUCGGCAUUUUAGAUGCUCUUCUCAUAUUAAACAUUUUCUAUGAGAAGUGUUCUCACAGUUAUGUGCCAAUUACUGAAAAGGGAUACUGGCAGGUGACGGCUGCUGUUAAUCUACCCUUGAAUCUUAAGGGUUGUGGGUUUGGAGCUUGGAAAUGGAAGCUUAAGUGGGAAUUCAUCUGGUGCAUUGGCUGGAUUGCACCAGCUACGAACUUGAAUCUCUCGCACAAUUUCUUUACAGAUUUUAUGUUGACGGUGAUGUGGCUUGUGGUGCGUUGUUGUUGGUGGUGAUAAUAUAAUAAAAAUUAAAAGUGGGGUUGAUUUUCGUUUUUAUUGGAGUGAUUUAAACUAGAAGGGUAAUAUUGACAGUUUAUGUUAAACGGGGUAUUUGUGAACAAUUUGUUUUGUUGGAGUUUUUGUGCAUGGAUAGUGACACCUUUGUUGUUGUAACUCGCAGACUAAUACUUAAUUAAGGAACUUGUGUUAUGGUGUUCGUACAAAAAUCGUGUUUAUAUAUGCAAUUCUUCAGUACUAGCUUCAACAAAAAAAAAAGCAUUGUCUUGAAUGUUUCCUCCGGGUACGGUAAUAGCAGAAGUUACACUGAUUAUUGAUGUCGCCAUUGGUAUUGUGGGCCAUCCAACAUAACACGCUUUCUUCAAUUACAGAGUUUUCGCAUAAAUCAUGGCAGCCUGAGAGGUAUUUUUUUUUUCUGAUUUAGUUUGCCAUGAGAAACACCAUCAGCAGCUUGGUACUUUUCUCUUCGUGCUCCUAGAUUACUUUUCUCUCCGUGCUCCUAGAAUAUGGAUUAGCAUCUCAAGAAGCUCGAUCAGCAGUUAUUGAUGCUGCCCAGAAAAGGUCGCCAUGUGAAAGAAAAAGUUCCGAGAGAAAAUUGAAACCCAAGGUUAUGUUGAUCCUUACACUAUUGGGUAAUAAAAAUUUCGUGUUGAUUACCUGUGAUUUUUGAAAUAUGGGUUUUGCACAAAUAAACCGAAAUUAGGUUCGGCAGAAAUAGGCCUUCCAUGUACAGAUUUAUUCAUGAUUAUGGAUGUCACAAAUUAACAAAAGUAGGUAGUGGGUUCAAUAUUGCAGAAGUGGGUUCACUACAUUGAUGAAGCUAAUUUGUGCAUUUAUGUAGUUAUUUUUUGAGUGCUAUCCGUAAUAUGUAGUUAUUUGUGCAUUCAUCUCCUCUCUGUUCGGCAUGUCUUGGUAUUGAAAACGAUAAUAAUCGCUUUACAUGUCUAUACGUGCCUUUGUUUUUCUCGUGAUGUGGUUUCUUCUUGGUUCACUGUGAGCUCUCUUUGCCUUUGCAUAAACUUUGGGAACUUCAUUUAGCGGAAAAUGAGUGGAUACAAGGGAACAUAGAGUACAAUUAUGGUUGUAUAUUUUCCUGGCUCCUGUGCAACUAUGUAUGCUUUAUGUGUCCUAUCUAUCAUUGGCCAGGGGAUGUAUUUUCUUUUAAAUUGUUUGGUAGGUGAUUAUUUCACAUUGACGUGUUUGCCUGCACUUACUCGAGUUGGCAUAGGUAAAAUUUACAACUCAUGUGUUGUUAGCUUCAUUAAACUAACGUAUUAAUUGGUAUUAUACCAAAACCUGCAGAUUUUAAGAAUUUGAAGGCAUAAUCUAACAAAGAAUUGUUCGAGAAAAGAAAAUUAACAAUUUGCUACCAAGUGUAUCACUGUCAGAUUAGUGCAUCCCCCUUAAUAUGGUUAGCCGUCUCUUGAACUCUGAUUUACGUGGUUAAUACGUUUACAGGAUAACACAACUGUUUACUUAACCAAUAUCUAUAUUUGAAAUCAGUGUGGCCUCUGUUAGUCGUUAUUUAACCUCUGCAUGAUAGAUGGGUCUUUGCGUCUAUCAGGAUUUCUAGCAGAAAUUUGGCGCUUCCACAUGCAGGGCCACUUAAGUGGUGGUAUAUAUUUGCUUCAGAUACUCAUGGAGACUUAUGUAUAUAUAGUAGCCUCUUUUAUAUGAAGCAAACUCAUACCAGCUCUUUGGUGGGUGGGGAAGGUUGAAUAUCUUUGGUUUUUACCGUGAUAAACAAGAAGACCCAUCGGACUGGACCCAUGGGGGUCAUGCAUGCAUGUAGGGAGGAUAUAUGGAGACUUUGUUCUGAAUCAUGUUAUGAACGAGCUUUUAUUAAUCAUGUUACUGUUAUGAUAUCAGCUUUGGUGCCACCACGUUCACAGGGUUCCAAAGAGAGAUCUAAAAGUGGCACUACAAGUAGCUAAUGAUGUAUCCUCUGUUUAAUAUUUUAUAGAUUACUCUUUGUCAAAAAAAAAACAAAAAACUAGCACACCAUGAAAUCUGCCAUAAGGUUAAAACUAAAGAUUAUGUAAGAAUAUCUCGGUAGGGAGUUGUUAGUUUGACAUGAUGAAGGGAACGUUGUAAAUCAGGUUAGAAAAUUCCCCAAUUGUUGUGAUCUUUUCUUCUCCGUUUCUUUCUCUGUAUUUUAGUGAACAAGUUUUCACUCUACUUUUUCAUUAUAUGAUCGAUAACGUUGAGGCUAAGAUUGAGGUAGUUUUUGUUUUCAUUUUUGUGAUUUUCGGUUGCAGUGUUCAUUUGCUUACUAGGAUUAAUAUAUGGAUUGGAGAUUACGAGUUCUAUGGUUUACUUGGGUGCUGAAAUUACUUGGUUUCUUUUAUCACAGUCCCAUUGAUUAUAGGGGCCCGUUGUUAGGUAAGAGUAUAAUGUCUUCAUGUGUUCAACCAAUUUGUUCAGUUGUUUGGAAUGAGUCUGCCAAGCAAAGGAGCAAUUGAAGACUAAUUUAGCUCCAUAUCAGGUUUGUAAUAUUUAGGUAUGUUUUUCUUCAUGGCACUUCAAAUUAUUUUACUUUCGUUUGGGACCAUCCAUAAAAAUGUCAUUCUCUAUUUUUUUUCCUGACAUAGAAGUAACUAGCUUCUUUUGCUAGCUAGGGGCUUGGAGAUAGACUUUUACUUGAAACCCGGGGCAGGAUUUCGAUUUUUCAAGGAAUGCAUAUAUAAAGACUUGGAUAGAUGAAAUGUUCUGGCAUUUGAGAUUAUCAAAGUGUCCGUUGGAGCAGUUAUCAUCAGAUGCGAAAGGAGAUAACUUGAUGAACCUCAACCAUAACAUCUUGAUUACAUCUUUUAAUUUUGUCUUGAUGAUUUUUGGUUAACUCACAUCAAACCAGUGAAUACCAGUUUAGAUUUACAUCUUACAUUUAAUGUGAUUCUGUGUUUACAUCCCACAAAGUAUUGAUAUAGAAAUCAGUUAUGCGAUAUGGUUCAAGCACUAACUAUGGUUUUAGUUUUUCCAUGACCUGGCUUGGAUCGUUUCAAAUUUCUUGGAACAAAA